UGGCUUGUUGUUUAGUUUUAUGAUUCCCUGGUUUUGAAGACCUUGAAUAUUCCUAUUUAUUUAUUCAGGUGGACUUUGGUUUGCUCUGUCCUGCAGCUGGGUCCUACACCUUCUCAACCAUUAAGAGAGUUAGAGCAGAUUUUUCACCUCAUGAUCAAAGAGACAGGUUGUCUUUAAAUAAAUGUCCUCAUAUUGAGUCUGAAUAGCAUCAUCUCCCUAGAUCAUCAAAGCUGUGUUUCACCAAGAUGUCACCUUCUGACAGCUGUGUCAGUCUUCCUACUUGGGACUCACAACUAAUUCCCAGCCAAAUAUCUAGAGGUGCAGCUUAAUACCUAAAAUGCAGCAGGUGGAGUGAGAAGCAUGGAGACUGGUGGCCUGCUGGAGGGGCUUUAAGAGAGGAGAAACAUUUUUGUCUGAUGCAAGAAUGUUUCCUAAUGUCUGCCAUCUCUUCCACUGCUUGCAUCUCUACUGGGAGGGACUAAGAUGAGAUGGGAGGAGAGGAGGGGAGGGGAGGAAUCAACAUGUACUGAGGGACGAUGAACUCUUGAAUGAAGCAGUAAAGGAUUUAAGAUUCAAGUGUAAAGCCCUUUUCCAAAACAAAAGCGCUACCUGUUAGUAUUCAG